GCAUAUCAAUAAGCGGAGGAAAAGAAACCAACAGGGAUUACCUCAGUAACGGCGAGUGAAGCGGUAACAGCUCAAAUUUGAAAUCUGGGCCUUUCAGGCUCCGAGUUGUAAUUUGUAGAAGAUGCUUCGGGUGCGGCUCCGGUCUAAGUUCCUUGGAACAGGACGUCAUAGAGGGUGAGAAUCCCGUAUGUGAUCGGUUGCCUGCGCCCGUGUGAAGCUCUUUCGACGAGUCGAGUUGUUUGGGAAUGCAGCUCAAAAUGGGUGGUAAAUUUCAUCUAAAGCUAAAUAUUGGCCAGAGACCGAUAGCGCACAAGUAGAGUGAUCGAAAGAUGAAAAGCACUUUGGAAAGAGAGUUAAACAGUACGUGAAAUUGUUGAAAGGGAAGCGCUUGCAACCAGACUUGCGCGUUGCCGAUCAUCCGGGGUUCUCCCCGGUGCACUCGGCCUCGCUCAGGCCAGCAUCGGUUUCGGUGGUGGGAUAAAGGCCUUGGGAAUGUAGCUCCUCUCGGGGAGUGUUAUAGCCCUCGGUGCAAUGCCGCCUACCGGGACCGAGGACCGCGCUCGGCUAGGAUG
rnacentral:rRNA from 1 species